UACAGAGGUGGCAAGCGUUGCUCGGUAUCACUGGGCUUAAAGGGCGCGUAGGCGGUGCGGUACGGUUUCGGUGAAAUCCCUCGGCCCAACCGAGGAACAGCCGGAGCUACGGCCGGACUAGACGGCAUCAGGGGACAGUGGAACUCCCGGUGGAGCGGUGAAAUGCGUAGAUAUCGUUUGGAACGCCUAAGGUGAAAACAGGUUACUGGGGAUGUUCUGACGCUGAGACACGAAAGCCAGGGGAGCAAACGGG
rnacentral:rRNA from 1 species